rnacentral:rRNA from 1 species
GACGAACGCUGGCGGCGUGCUUAACACAUGCAAGUCGAACGGAAAGGCCCCUUUGGUGGUACUCGAGUGGCGAACGGGUGCGUAACACGUGAGUAACCUUCCCUUGCCUACGGGAUAACUUCAAGAAACUGGGGCUAAUACCGGUUAGGAAUCCUUUCUGCAUGGGGGGGGUUGGAUAGCUUCAGGGGGUUUUGCUGUAGUGGCUGCUUAUCUGCUUGCUGCUGGGGUUAUGUCUUACCAAGGCGUUGUCGGGUAGCCGGACUGUGGAGGCGACCGGCGACCUUGAGACUGAGAUAAGGCCCAGGCUCCUACGGGAGGGAGAAGUGGGGAAUCUUGCAGGAGGGGCGGAAGGCGGAUGCAGCAGCGCCGCGGACGGGAUGACGGUCUUCGGGUUGUAAAACGCAUUCAGCAGGGGCGAAGCUUGUGGUGACGGUACCUGCAGAAGAAGCAACGGCUAACUACGUG